rnacentral:rRNA from 1 species
GGGAUAGAAUUCCAGGAGUAGCGGUGAAAUGCGUAGAUAUCUGGAGGAAUACCAAAGGCGAAGGCAGUCCCCUGGUCCGAUACUGACACUGAGGUACGAAAGCGUGGGGAGCAAACAGGAUUAGAUACCCUGGUAGUCCACGCCCUAAACGAUGUCGAUUAGCCAUUGGAAGGACCCCUUUUCCUUUCAGUGACGUAGCUAACGCGUUAAAUCGACCGCCUGGGAAGUACGACCGCAAGGUUAAAACUCAAAGGAAUUGACGGGGACCUGAACAAGCGGUGAAUAAUGUGGAUUAAUUCGAUGCUACGCGAAGAACCUUACCUACCUUUGACAUGGCCAAAGUUCUACCGAGAGGCGGAAGUACUCGUAAGAGGAUUGGCGCACAGGUGCUGCAUGGUUGUCGUCAGUUCGUGUCGUGAGAUGUUGGGUUCAGUCCCGCAACGAACGCAACCCUUAUCUUUAAUUGCUCCUAUUUUAACAGGCACUUUAAAGAAACUGCCAAUGAUAAGUUGGAGGAAGGUGGGGAUCACGUCAAGUCCGCAUGGCCUUUAUAGGUAGGGCUUCACACGUCAUACAAUGGUUAGAACAAAGAGCUGCAAAUUCGUAAGAAGGAGCCAAUCUCACAAACCUAACCUCAGUUCGAAUUGCGGUCUGCAACUCGAGCGCAUGAAGCCGGAAUCGCUAGUAAUCGUGGAUCAGAAUGCCACGGUGAAUACGUUCUUAGGUCUU